rnacentral:rRNA from 1 species
CCUACGGGGGGCUGCAGUAGGGAAUCUUCCACAAUGGGCGAAAGCCUGAUGGAGCAACGCCGCGUGGGUGAAGAAGGUCUUCGGAUCGUAAAACCCUGUUGUUAGAGAAGAAAGUGCGUGAGAGUAACUGUUCACGUUUCGACGGUAUCUAACCAGAAAGCCACGGCUAACUACGUGCCAGCAGCCGCGGUAAUACGUAGGUGGCAAGCGUUAUCCGGAUUUAUUGGGCGUAAAGGGAACGCAGGCGGUCUUUUAAGUCUGAUGUGAAAGCCUUCGGCUUAACCGGAGUAGUGCAUUGGAAACUGGGAGACUGGAGUGCAGAAGAGGAGAGUGGAACUCCAUGUGUAGCGGUGAAAUGCGUAGAUAUAUGGAAGAACACCAGUGGCGAAAGCGGCUCUCUGGUCUGUAACUGACGCUGAGGUUCGAAAGCGUGGGUAGCAAACAGGAUUAGAUACCCCGGUAGUC